CUGAAGGGCAGCAAAACGCAAACGGCAGCUCAUGGAAUGCUUCCGGUCGAUGCAGAGACGCCGAGAAAGCACAAGUCCAGCCUGUGAAUUUGUUUUAUUUAUACUUUGUUUUAAGUCAUGUAAUGGGACUCUUGGGCUCUUUUGCAAGUGCACUUGGUUUCUUCGUAAGCGCUGUUGAAAAGUUUGGCUUUGCGGCCGUUUUUGUCGAACACGAGUGAGGCUGGACGCUGAACAUAAAUGCGGCGUGAAGUCUACUUCCUCCAGGUCCUUACUUCAUCUGAGCCCAGGACCAGACGAGAACAGACAAGACGACCCACGAUGAGAAGCCUUCAGGUGAAUUCAAAGAAACCACUGGAUCCAGUGAAGGUAGGAAAAUAUUUUUAUUUCUUGUACGUCCACUUCUAAACUGUCCUUAUUCCUUUUUAGACCAUAUUUGAAUCACUGUAAACAGUAAUGUUUCGGUAGGAGUGUUAUCCAUACUACGUUCUAAAUUCAGCAAAACUUUUUAAUCAACUACUUUUCUAAACUGUUUACAUGUCUACAAAUCAGACAUUAUCAAGGUCACAAAUAGUGGCAAUUUUGUGACCCUGUCUGAAGCUUCAAAACAGAUCAUGCAACAGAAACUUUUUUUUUCAUAAACAAAGCAGUAAUUAUAAUAUAUUGUAUUAGUAUUAUAGAAAUAUAAUUGGAAAACAUUUUUAUACAGAGAAACAAAAUCCAUGUUAAUAAUUACAAGAAGACAGAAAAGUAGAUUUGUAGUAACACAAGUUAAAAUCCAAUCAUUACUAUUAAAAUUUUUUAAUACUAAUUAUUUUCUAUUCUAAUAAUUCAAUUUUCAUUUACCUUUGUAAUGUCCAUGUAACUGAAAAAAUCAUUUAUUCAUUAUGUGAUUAUUUAUUGUAGAAAAUUAUAUUUAGUGUAAUUAUUACUUCUACCAUAUGGUUUUUGUUUCCAUCAUUUCUUUUGAAGCUUCAGACAGGGACAUAAUCAUGUUCACUACUGUGAUAAUGAUUGAUCUGUAGACAUGUACAUGUAAAGAGUUUAGAAAGUAGUUGAUUAAAAAGUUUUGCUGCAUUUAUGUAGUAGCAAUACUCCUACUAAACAUUGCAAUUAACUGAUUACAGUGAUUCAAAUGUGCUAUAAAAGGAAAUAAGGACAGUUUAGAACUGGAACAGUAGAUUUAUUAAAUCAGUUUCAGUUAUUAACAUGUGUUCUGUCUCCGCAGGAGGAGGAGGAGGAGGAGACGGAGACGGCAACGACAAGUGAAGCUCUGGAC